GUUAUAUGGUCAAGUGAAGAAGCGCAUACGGUGGAUGCCUUGGCAGUCAGAGGCGAUGAAAGACGUGGUAGCCUGCGAAAAGCUUCGGGGAGUCGGCAAACAGACUGUGAUCCGGAGAUGUCUGAAUGGGGGAACCCAGCCAUCAUAAGAUGGUUAUCUUACACUGAAUACAUAGGUGUAAGAGGCGAACCAGGGGAACUGAAACAUCUAAGUACCCUGAGGAAAAGAAAUCAACCGAGAUUCCCUUAGUAGUGGCGAGCGAACGGGGACCAGCCCUUAAGUUGUAUUGAGAUUAGCGGAACGCUCUGGAAAGGGCGGCCAUAGUGGGUGAUAGCCCUGUACGCGAAAAUCCCUUUGCAAUGAAAUCGAGUAGGACGGGGCACGAGAAACCUUGUCUGAAUAUGGGGGGACCAUCCUCCAAGGCUAAAUACUACUGACUGACCGAUAGUGAACCAGUACCGUGAGGGAAAGGCGAAAAGAACCGCGGAGAGCGGAGUGAAAUAGAUCCUGAAACCGUAUGCGUACAAGCAGUGGGAGCCCACUUUGUUGGGUGACUGCGUACCUUUUUGUAUAAUGGGUCAGCGACUUAUUUUCAGUGGCGAGCUUAACCGAAUAGGGGAGGCGUAGCGAAAGCGAGUCUUAAUAGGGCGUCUAGUCGCUGGGAAUAGACCCGAAACCGGGCGAUCUAUCCAUGGGCAGGUUGAAGGUUGGGUAACACUAACUGGAGGACCGAACCGACUACCGUUGAAAAGUUAGCGGAUGACCUGUGGAUCGGAGUGAAAGGCUAAUCAAGCUCGGAGAUAGCUGGUUCUCCUCGAAAGCUAUUUAGGUAGCGCCUCAUGUAUCACUGUAGGGGGUAGAGCACUGUUUCGGCUAGGGGGUCAUCCCGACUUACCAAACCGAUGCAAACUCCGAAUACCUACAAGUGCCGAGCAUGGGAGACACACGGCGGGUGCUAACGUCCGUCGUGAAAAGGGAAACAACCCAGACCGUCAGCUAAGGUCCCAAAGUCAUGGUUAAGUGGGAAACGAUGUGGGAAGGCUUAGACAGCUAGGAGGUUGGCUUAGAAGCAGCCACCCUUUAAAGAAAGCGUAAUAGCUCACUAGUCGAGUCGGCCUGCGCGGAAGAUGUAACGGGGCUCAAACCAUGCACCGAAGCUACGGGUAUCAUCUUUUGAUGAUGCGGUAGAGGAGCGUUCUGUAAGCCUGUGAAGGUGAGUUGAGAAGCUUGCUGGAGGUAUCAGAAGUGCGAAUGCUGACAUGAGUAACGACAAUGGGUGUGAAAAAACACCCACGCCGAAAGACCAAGGUUUCCUGCGCAACGUUAAUCGACGCAGGGUUAGUCGGUCCCUAAGGCGAGGCUGAAAAGCGUAGUCGAUGGAAAACAGGUUAAUAUUCCUGUACUUCUGGUUAUUGCGAUGGAGGGACGGAGAAGGCUAGGCCAGCCUGGCGUUGGUAGUCCAGGUUUAAGGUGGUAGGCUGAGAUCUUAGGUAAAUCCGGGAUCUUAAGGCCGAGAGCUGAUGACGAGUGUUCUUUUAGAACAUGAAGUGGUUGAUGCCAUGCUUCCAAGAAAAGCUUCUAAGCUUCAGGUAACCAGGAACCGUACCCCAAACCGACACAGGUGGUUGGGUAGAGAAUACCAAGGCGCUUGAGAGAACUCGGGUGAAGGAACUAGGCAAAAUGGCACCGUAACUUCGGGAGAAGGUGCGCCGGUGAGGGUGAAGCAUUUACUGCGUAAGCCCACGCCGGUCGAAGAUACCAGGCCGCUGCGACUGUUUAUUAAAAACACAGCACUCUGCAAACACGAAAGUGGACGUAUAGGGUGUGACGCCUGCCCGGUGCCGGAAGGUUAAUUGAUGGGGUUAGCGCAAGCGAAGCUCUUGAUCGAAGCCCCGGUAAACGGCGGCCGUAACUAUAACGGUCCUAAGGUAGCGAAAUUCCUUGUCGGGUAAGUUCCGACCUGCACGAAUGGCGUAACGAUGGCGGCGCUGUCUCCACCCGAGACUCAGUGAAAUUGAAAUCGCUGUGAAGAUGCAGUGUAUCCGCGGCUAGACGGAAAGACCCCGUGAACCUUUACUAUAGCUUUGCACUGGACUUUGAAUUUGCUUGUGUAGGAUAGGUGGGAGGCUUUGAAGCGUGGACGCCAGUCUGCGUGGAGCCAACCUUGAAAUACCACCCUGGCAACUUUGAGGUUCUAACUCAGGUCCGUUAUCCGGAUCGAGGACAGUGUAUGGUGGGUAGUUUGAUCAGGCGGUCUCCUCCUAAAGAGUAACGGAGGAGUACGAAGGUGCGCUCAGACCGGUCGGAAAUCGGUCGUAGAGUAUAAAGGCAAAGCGCGCUUGACUGCGAGACAGACACGUCGAGCAGGUACGAAAGUAGGUCUUAGUGAUCCGGUGGUUCUGUAUGGAAGGGCCAUCGCUCAACGGAUAAAAGGUACUCCGGGGAUAACAGGCUGAUACCGCCCAAGAGUUCAUAUCGACGGCGGUGUUUGGCACCUCGAUGUCGGCUCAUCACAUCCUGGGGCUGAAGCCGGUCCCAAGGGUAUGGCUGUUCGCCAUUUAAAGUGGUACGCGAGCUGGGUUUAGAACGUCGUGAGACAGUUCGGUCCCUAUCUGCCGUGGACGUUUGAGAUUUGAGAGGGCUGCUCCUAGUACGAGGACCGGAGUGGACGAACCUCUGGUGUUCCGGUUGUCACGCCAGUGGCAUUGCCGGGUAGCUAUGUUCGGAAAAGAUAACCGCUGAAAGCAUCUAAGCGGGAAACUUGCCUCAAGAUGAGAUCUCACUGGAACCUUGAGUUCCCUGAAGGGCCGUCGAAGACUACGACGUUGAUAGGUUGGUGUGUAAGCGCUGUGAGGCGUUGAGCUAACCAAUACUAAUUGCCCGUGAGGCUUGACCAUAUAACACCCAAGCAAUU
rnacentral:rRNA from 1 species